AUUGAACGCUGGCGGCAGGCCUAACACAUGCAAGUCGAGCGGAUGAAGGGAGCUUGCUCCUGGAUUCAGCGGCGGACGGGUGAGUAAUGCCUAGGAAUCUGCCUGGUAGUGGGGGAUAACGUCCUGAAACGGGCGCUAAUACCGCAUACGUCCUGAGGAAGAAAGUGGGGGAUCUUCGGACCUCACGCUAUCAGAUGAGCCUAGGUCGGAUUAGCUAGUUGGUGGGGUAAAGGCCUACCAAGGCGACGAUCCGUAACUGGUCUGAGAGGAUGAUCAGUCACACUGGAACUGAGACACGGUCCAGACUCCUACGGGAGGCAGCAGUGGGGAAUAUUGGACAAUGGGCGAAAGCCUGAUCCAGCCAUGCCGCGUGUGUGAAGAAGGUCUUCGGAUUGUAAAGCACUUUAAGUUGGGAGGAAGGGCAGUAAGUUAAUACCUUGCUGUUUUGACGUUACCAACAGAAUAAGCACCGGCUAACUUCGUG
rnacentral:rRNA from 1 species